UCUUGUGUCUUGUCUAUAGGAAGGGAGUGUAUCCUGGUGUAUGACAGCAUAUAGUAGAGACCAUUGUCAAUUAGGGCCUGUGAACUGAGACAGGGUGACUGGCUAAGUCCACAACCCAUUAGAAACCCAGAAAUAAUCAAAUCAUGGAGAGAUUAGACCAGGGACAAUAAAUAUGGAUUAGGCAAGAAUGUGUUAACUCAGCAGGCCAGGGUUUCUUCAACCCUGCACAUUCAAAGAGGGAUCAUGGAAAGGAAGCUGAAUUUGCCAAGUUUUGCCACGUGGGCAUUGCAUGCCUAUGUGAUUAACCACCAAUAAAAACCUGGGACAUCAAAGAAUAAAUAAGCUGCUCUAAUUGCCAAGAAUUCACAUGUGGUUGUAUGCAGCAUUACUGGGAGAUUGAAGUGUAUCUGCAUGUGAUUCUGCUGUGAUGGACACUUGUAAGUUUGUGCCUGGAGUCUCCUGGACUUUGCCCUGAGAAUCUUUUUCCUUUGUUGAUAUGACUCUGCAUCCUUUUGUUUUAAUAAACUGUAAACAUGAGUAUAAUUGCUUCUCUGAGUUCUGAGAGUUUUUUAAAUAAAUAAUCAAAGCUGAAGAGCAAUGGAGACCCCCACCAAAAUAUCUUUACACAUUUCAAUUUUGUAUUGAAGUAAAUUUUAUUUUCUUUUUUAUACCUCCC
rnacentral:lncRNA from 1 species